GUCUAGAGCUAGGCGGCCGGCCCGGGAAAGCGCAUCCCGACGGGAGGGCAGCCAAUCCGUGCUUUCUCUCGGCGUUAUGAAACGUGUGGGGGUGAAGGAGCGGAGGAAGAAGCGGGCGAAGACGGCUGACAGCAGGAGAGAGAACAGAAGCUGCCAUGGCAUGAUAGCCAGCCCUCGGGCAUUGCAGCUGGGCUCUGUUUGAAAGCAUCCGGGCACGUCCAUUUUUCUUCACACGAACUUUUGCAAGAAAGCCUCAAGUCUACAACUUUUAAAAGGACAUGAACUUGGUGUGUCUGGGGUCAGCUGUACUUGAAUAAGUGAAUAGGCACCCUGCCAUUCAGGAGCUGUGAGACUUUGGACAAAGUACGCAACCUCUCUGCACCUCCAAUUUCUGGCACGUCCAUAUUUGUUGCUUGGUAUCACACGAAUUGAAUUAGAUGUAUGUGCAGGACAGUACCUGGCUCACUCCUUAUUGGCGGUUGGUAUUUAACAUUAAGUUAAGCCCUGUAUGAGGAUGUUUUCGUGAAGAACUAAAAAGGAGCAUUGAAUCCCACGGGCGUAAAGGUGAAGUAUAAAGAAAAUCCUGUCGUAGACACUCUUUUCUGGAAUGAGUAAUACUCCAAAAUAUCAAGAGACAACUCUUAGGACCCCAGAGCCCCCCAUAGCUCUCUAUGCAUGUUGUGUCAUUGUAGCACGCUACUUAAUACAGGAUUUAUACAUGACAAACAUGGCUUAGUGAUAUCUGAUGCAGACCCCCUUUUUUUAAUGCCUCACAGAGCCACCAACUAAAGAACAUCAUGAUCCCACUAUUGAGACCCUAGGCCUGUCUGUUGAGUUAUUCUCAGGGGCUGUGCAGGGGGGUGGGGGGUUGGAUGAGGAAUGGCCUAUAUUAUUACAUGCAGAUAUUUAAUAAGGCUCUGGGCUAGGGAUGAAGAGUGGGGAUGGGGCACACAGAACAGUGUAGCUCUUGAAAAGAUGGGCAGGGUGACCUCAUAUUUUCCCUUAUCUCAUUUCUGUGAUGCUCUAAUAAAUGUUUCCAUUAUGAAGUUGAGUCCAAAUAAAAGACUGCUUUUAAAUGUA